rnacentral:rRNA from 1 species
AAUAGAUACCCCGGUAGUCCACCCCGUAAACGUUGGGACUAGUUGUGGGGUCCAUUCCACGGAUUCCGUGACGCAGCUAACGCAUUAAGUUCCCCGCCUGGGGAGUACGGCCGCAAGGCUAAAACUCAAAGGAAUUGACGGGGACCCGCACAAGCGGCGGAGCAUGCGGAUUAAUUCGAUGCAACGCGAAGAACCUUACCAAGGCUUGACAUACACGAGAACGGGCCAGAAAUGGUCAACUCUUUGGACACUCGUGAACAGGUGGUGCAUGGUUGUCGUCAGCUCGUGUCGUGAGAUGUUGGGUUAAGUCCCGUAGCGAGCGCAACCCUCGUUCUAUGUUGCCAGCACGUAAUGGUGGGAACUCAUGGGAUACUGCCGGGGUCAACUCGGAGGAAGGUGGGGAUGACGUCAAAUCAUCAUGCCCCUUAUGUCUUGGGCUUCACGCAUGCUACAAUGGCCGGUACAAAGGGCUGCAAUACCGUGAGGUGGAGCGAAUCCCAAAAAGCCGGUCCCAGUUCGGAUUGAGGUCUGCAACUCGACCUC